CCACACCAAACCUCACCCCACUUCACAUGGCCACAGACCACCGCCACCGCCUCAAAUGGCAACGACCACUGCCGCAGAUCGCCGCCGUCAUCGCCACCUUUGCAGAUCGCCAUUGCCAUUGCUGCAUAGCACAGCUUGCAAAGCCAGGGACUCCAGUCACUGGUCACAUUAUUUCCACGACCAUUGGUAGCAAAAAUGGAGAACCCAAACAGUUGUCUUUGGACUGGAUGGUUGGAUGGAUGUAAUUGAAAAUGCAAAAGGAUAUGGCGGGAGUCGAUUGAUUUCAUUUGAUUUUUUAAAGAUAGAUGUCAGUUCAGAGGUCUUCAUGUGAAAGAGACAUAAGGUUCUAUCAUCAGUUCCUUCUCAAUUCCUAACCCCAUGAAUAUAUAAAGAAUUUUUUUAAGACCUCACUUCCUUCUCAAUUCCUAAAGAGGUAACUACUUCAACUUAUAUAGAAAAUCUCUAUGUUCUCUUUCGCUUCAACAAAUUAGUUGUAAUGCUAGAGGAUCUGAUACUUUUCUUUUUCUUUUUCUUUUUCUUUUUCUUGAAUGCACAAUAAGAUUCUGUUGGGGUCCACCAUUGAAGUGUAAUUGCAUAAGAGAAUCAAAUUUUGCUCAUUCAUGAUGUGUCUUUCAUUAGCUGUCCGUAAGACUAUGUUUGCUUAAGAGAAUCAAAUUCUGUUGUUCCUCUUAGCAAAUUAUGGAAAUUCAAUUUAUCUAGUUUUUUAUGUUGUUGUCAACUUUUAAACUGCUAUUUUUAUUUAUUUUUUAGUUUGGCAGUUCUUUGGGUCGGGAAAAAGAGCUACUUGCAAAGAGCACAGGUUGGACAUCCAAGAAGAGCCAUUGGGAUAGCAUAGCACAUUUUUUUCUUCCCAUGUGAUGUAAGUAACUCCAUGUGAAGAACUUAAGCACAUGGCAUGGUUUAUUUUUCCAGUAAGUGGCCACAAGAUUGGGACUUUCACAUUGAUUUGAUCUCGUAUGUUUCAACACUUAUUUCCCUUCUGGAAACUUUCAUUCGAGGAUUUUUUUUAUUUUUAUUUUUUUGCGCAGCAGGAACUACAUAAAGCACUAUUUGUUCCUUGCGCGCACAUGAAAAAAAAAA